ACAGAAACCUUAGUUGUUACAGAAAUCCAAACCCUUGAGAAAGCUUCUCCUGGAGUUAAGAGAAAAGAAAAGAAUGAUUAGAAAAAGGGCUUAAAUGAUUCAUGACUGCAAAGGGUAGAGUUAAGUUCUUAAUUUGGGACUAGAGAUAGGAUUACCAUUAGAGCUUCAUUGGUUAUACUCUGGGUAGAUGGAAUCUUAUCUCUGUAUGCAUAGCUUGGGACUUACCUUUAGCAUUCUACUAAUGCUUAAUUAUUUUUUGAGAGAUUCCGUGUUACUGAAGCCUAUUCUAUAAGGGACCAUCUUUGUCUCUUGACCUUUAUCUUAGGCAAAUGAGUUCAUUGAUGAUGCAUUGCUUGAUUCACUUUCCAGAACUAAUGAAUGUUAAAGGGAUUGGUAGAUUUGAAAACAUGUGUAGGUCGAGCAUACGACUCGGAUUGAUUGAUAACAAGGCCUGACUAACGUUUUUGAGUAGAAUUUGAUCAUAUCGCAGCUUAGAACUACCAACUUGGACAUUGAUUUCAUCUGAUUUAUCUAGUGCUUUGGCUCUAAGUCCCCGCUUUCAAACCUCACCUCCAGCUUGUUCUUUAUUGUUUGCUUGAGGGCAAGCAAAGACUAAGUUUGGGGGAGUUGAUAAGUGUGCAUUUUACACAUUUUGAGCAUCCAUUUGUCAUCACUUUAGCAUCAUAUCAUCACUGUUUUAUACCACUUCUCAUCAUUUGUCAUCAU
rnacentral:sRNA from 1 species